UUCAUUUGCUUUUAUUUUUUCUUUUUUUCAAAAAGUAUCUUCUGAUAGUAGUAAUGAGAUAAGUCAGAGAGAUCAUCAGAGAGAUCGUGCACCUUAGUCGACCCAACAACUGCUUGAGUUUGAGGUGAAAAAUUCACCUCAAGCAACAGCCGAAAUCAGUACCUCAGGUCGGAAGGAUUUGGAAUCUUUUAUAAGGAGUUUUUUGGAUUACUUCGACCUAAGUAUUGAACAAUUUAUCCUAACCGAUCUGGAUCUUUAGAAACUUAGAAAAAAAUAUUCAAUUUCUAAAGAAUUCUAACUGAUAGCUCUGGAUCAGAAUGAUCGGAUUACUGAUCCUCCAGAAGAUUGUGUUGCAUUUUAUGAUGAGGCACUUCGGUCUGGACUUCGAUUUCCUUUACAUCCCUUCUUUAGUAAUAUUUUAGAUUUCUAUAGAUUUUAUCUAACCCAAGUUAUUUUCAAUGCCAUUAGGAUGA
rnacentral:lncRNA from 1 species